UCGCGUGCUCCGGGGUCGGUGUAAUUCCGAGCCGGCGGUGACAGUCCGCGACCCGGCCGACGAAGGUGUCGGCUGGUUGACCUGGUGGAAUUCCGGGACCGACGGUGAAAGUCCGGAUGGGAGGCGCACGCGA
rnacentral:ncRNA from 2 species